rnacentral:lncRNA from 1 species
GUUGACAUGGAUGAUGAAGACGGCCGGUGCCUGCUCGACGUGAUCUGCGACCCCCAGGCCCUGAACGACUUUUUACAUGGAUCCGAAAAGAUUGACGGUGAUGAUCUCCUGGACAGCACAGGAGAUGCAGCCAGCGCCUUCUUUGAAGGUGCUGGGGUACGUACUUUUUCCUUCCAUCACC